UGCUGUCUAUUAUUAUUCUGUUUAUAAAUCAGUGAAGUGGAUUAGCUUGAGAACUUGAGAAAUUUUAGAAUUUGCCCAGCAAAAUACGGGAGACUUUAACUGAAGAAACAAAGGCAGUGCCUUUCUUAGUAAAUCAAGACAUGCAGGUGGUGGUUUUAUUGGAAUUAUUUACUUCUAAGUCCUCUGGGGGUAUGGGUUUCAUUUGUUAGUCAUUGCAGAUACUGUUCUUCCUCUUCUCAAAACUGAAAGAAGUCUGUGGUAAAAGCAUUGUAGAUGAAUGUUGCUUUAAAGCCUAUGUGUAACUUGGCAGUUGAAGAUUAUGGAGGUUUCCAUUUUCAUCCUUUGUAACUACAUUUUCAAGUUUGCUAUCAAGAGAUUAACGCUUCAGUUCUACAGCAAGCUUUUAUGUUUGGGUGCAGCCUGGUCUGCUUUUUUUUUUUCCUUCUCAUUUUAUUCGCUUGAGUAUGAGUUAAAAAUGGCAUGUACCUUUCACACCCUGGCUUUAGAAGAAGUUUCACUUAUCAGUUGCUGUGGCCCUUUUGGCAUUUGGGCACAUUGACAAGCACUAAGUAGCUUGUUACGUCAGUCUCUGAAGGGGCAGAGAGAGGCUGUGUGGGUUUCUGCUUCUGUUUUGAGCCGCUGUUUGUCUCUGCAUCUGCUCAUCUGCAAAGAUGAUUGCUGUUCAUGUCCUCUGGGGUCCUAAUCCCAUCCCAGCAGAGAAUUAAAAAAUAACUAAUUGUGUCUCUCUUCAUGGUUGCAGUUAGAGUGAAUUUACUUUGAAAAUUCUUCAACUCUUGCUUAUUUCUGUUUUGUACAUUUUCUUUUUUCCUGAUGUGUACAUAGCAUUACAUGCAUAAAGCAACAGGAACUAUGAUGGAGAGCAAUACAUUUCUUCACAGCUUAGUUUAGUGGUUUAAAAACUAGGCAUGCGUGCAGAAAGCUUGGUAUGAUAAGUAGUCUUUGUGUAUUGUAAGUAGUCUCUGUGUUCUGUUUGAAAAAAGGGCACCGCUUAAAAAAGAUGAAAAUAAAAACGCUGUGUUGAAUGACAGCUAACUAUAAAUUUUUGAAAUAUAAGGGCUAGAAUUCUUCUUAAUCUACCACGUCAUGAUUAUAGUUUUCAACCUUCCUGUGGAAAGCGACGCUUCCUCUCAAGGGUUUGAUUAAUGUUAGAAUUGAAACUGUGACAUACAUAAAUAACCCAUUUACAGCAGCUCUUCCCACAUCCCAAAUCAAGGAGAAUCCUAACUGAUAAAGCAUGAUCUCUACAUAUUGGUGCAAAGCUGACAGCAGCCUCUUGAAUAGAAGGCAAUUCUGAUUUCUGUGAAAAGAAGUAAAUAUUUCUGCUUAGGCAGACUGCAGUCUGGCAGAACCCUGCACAUUUUAAUCAGCGCCUUGUGCUCAAUACUGGAUAAUAAUGGCUUGUGUGUGUACCAGAUUGCUAGCCAUACGCUUCAGCAUGGUAUGCUCUGUUGUCUUCCCAGGUAAGGAGUAUGAACCAGCCCUCUCAGCUGUGGUAUUAAAGAACAUGUAUAAUGAGUUAUCUUAUGAACUCUAGGCUUUAGAUUAAAAAAAAAAAAAACACACAACAACAACAACAACAAAACCUAAUGAAAGUGCAGUAGCAUUAGUGCUGCAGAAUUUCAUUUAUGCAUUUAUACAUUGGAAAUUACCCUUUUUUAAAAUAUCUAAUGCUUGUGGGAAAGGGGAGGUAAGGAAUAGGUUGAAACAGAAGCUAUUAAAGAUUUCUCAAUUGUUGCAUUUUUAAGGAAAAAAGAAAAAAGAAAUGAAUUUAAAGAGUCUAACUCACUGUUUUCAAUGAUAGACAAAAAUGACUGAUUCUGUCUUUUCUGGGUAACUACCACAUUCAGUUUAAAAUUCUUUAUUGAUCAAAGUACUCAAGGAGAGGCUUAGCCUGGGAGAUGACUAGGAGAGAGUUUGUAUAGAAAUGAAAACUGGAGUGUCUUCAUGGAUCUGUAAUUUUUCUGUUUGUGUCUAGGGAAGCCUGAUUCCACAGAAAUACUAUAAUAGAGAAGUCAAAUGUACAAACUGUGAUUACUUCAUACCACACUACCUCCCUACCCAAUCUGCCACUGUUCCCUAUGCCCUUAAGAAACAAAAACCAAAACUCAAACUGGUUGGAAUUUAAACCUGAAACCAACGUGAGUGGGAGGAGUUUUCCCCCAUCUAAGGCUUACAUUUUGGUUUUACGUAAUUCUGAUCGAGUUGUUAUUCGUGUAGUUACUUUUUGGUUUCUAAAAUUUGCGUGCAAAAAUGAAGAGAAAGUACUGCAGUUUUCUUGAAAGUUUAGUCAAAACUUCAUGCUUAGCUCUCUUGGCUAUAUCAUCUCACAACUGUUAAUAUUUACAUGAGCUUUUCCUUCCUAAGUGAUGCACUGACAUAGUCACUGAAAUUGACACUAAAACGAACAUGUGAUAGCCUUCUCAUUUUAGAGCAUGCCAGUUUAUAUUGUACCUGAGCUUUAAUAUUAGGAUUCUAGGUUUUGUUCUGAUCGAUCUGUCGACCCUCAGUUAGGGAAGGGCAUCUGAUACUUAAAGCUGUGCCAUUACUUUGUGAAACAAACAUUUCAAUGCAAUGAUAUCAACGUGUGCAAGUAGAGAAAGCAAAAUACAAAUGCUUAUAAAAUUGCUACCUGACAGUAUUAUUUCUUGACCUGUGACUUCUGGCAGAGCUUGCAGAUGUCAGAAAGUGUCAGUAAUGGAUUCAGGCUGUGACAUUUGUCACUUAAAAAGUCACAUCACAAUUAAUAGAUUCAGGAUUCACUGAGCUUUUUCCUACAUGGUAUCACACUCGCUGCAUCUGUGACAGCCUUCAUUUCCUGCUUAGCAAAUCGAAGUCUGGUAGCAAGAGCCUCAGGAAGUUGUUAAAGCAAUUAAAGGCUUCUCUCACACAGUACAUUGCAUGGUUACCAUAGUAUCCUCUGCCUCCAAGUCUUUACUGAUGAUGUCAGUAUGCAUACAGGGGCUAUUCAGAGCAUCUACAUGAAUAUGAUUCAGCCUCUGCUAAAGAUUGUAAGCGUCCCUCCAUAUGUUCUAUUGUCUAGUAUCAUUUUAGAAAUUCAUGAGGCUGGAAGCCUGUUACCUGGUGAGGGCUCUGAUCUGCGUGCACAGGCCCACGGUUGUGCUGCCCCAGGACCUGACCACAGUGCCUGUGACAGGCCGGACCACAGCAAGUGGAUUCAAGAGCUGAAGACACAAAGUUUUUAAGAUGUCCUCCUUAUUUUUGUAUUCAAAGAAUGCAGCAUCUGUCUUUCUUUUUUUUCCACAGAAAUUAAUCAUAAUGAAGGAAAUGUGUACUCUUUGAGAAUCAAUCUGUGAUAUUUCCUCAACUGUGUCCUAUGCCAUAAGACCUUAAUUGUACAUGUAUGUAUGGAACACAGGAGAUGAAAGAUUUGCAGCUUGCAUAUUGACAAAAAUGAGACAAAUUGUGUUCUGUUCUGGCUAAGUCCUGUUUGCUGGCAGCGUGUAUGUAGUAUUUUAGUCUUACUGAAAUAAAUUUCUUAGAGAUAAAUGUAUGUGAUUUAAGAAGAUUGGACCCUGUAAUCAGGAAGACUACAAUAGUAGAAAAAGCCGUGCAACUCUUGUAUGUCUUCUGUAUUAUUAAAAAAAUCUCCAUGAAAACUUUUCUACUGCCUGAGAUGUGGUAUUUUCCCUCUGUAACCCUAUGAAAAUGAGAAAUGAUCUAUGUAAUUUUCUUAACUUUGUAUUUUAUAAGUUAAAUUCCUUUCUUUACCCUGAAACCACUUAUGUCUUCAUGUGUAUAACAAAAUGAUGAUAAAAGAAGUGGAACUGGUAGUUUGAACUUCUUUGAAAUGAAUUCCAGAAAUUUUAUGGGUUUUAUGCAUACUUCUAGUAUAUACUGACUGAUAACCUGUUUUCAUUCCACGAUUGUAUUUAUCUCCAAAAUUACAUACUCAUGUUCUGAAACUAUCCCUUUUGGUGUUGGAAUUAUUAUCAUAUACUCUAAAUAUGAUUACUUUGUAAUGGUGAGUCGUUAAGGUGAUCGUUCUUUGAAAUAUAAAGAUGAAUAUAAAACAAAUGUACUAGCAUACUGGGAAAACUGUUGUAGUGUUCUGUAGAGCUUAUAGUAUCCUGAGUGUUUUAUGUCUACACUGUCGUAACUACAGCACCUAAUUUUGGAGAACUUCUUUAUCAAAUGAUUCUUUCACUUUUCACUGUUUAGCCUGUUCUACAUGAGGGAGAAGUAGGAGUUCAGUGUUUCUUGUAGGGUUUCAUUUUGAAUGUCCAUGGAGUUUGUUUGUGCUAUCAUUUACCAGCCUGCUCCUCUUCGCUUUCCAAGUUGCCUUAUUGAUGGUUUUGUGAUCUGAAUGGGAGUUAGUGAUGAAGCCACACAGUUAUUUUGCUUUUUUUCUCAGUCCUUUGGUUAUUACCUCAGAACAUAAGUAGUGUGGUACUUCUAACAGAAACAUUAAUUUAUCAUUCAGUUAGGUACCUCUGUUUCUGUUGUAGAAUCAUGUAUUACCUCAAAGAGGUUGAAGGUGAGCUUUCUGUUCUUUUUUUAAAAACAUUACAAUUUUUUUCAAUGCAUUAAAAUCUAUAUCAGAGAAAAGGGAUUUCCAUCGGGGGUGCUGUAAGCACCAUGCUUGCAAAUAAAUUAUAUUCACUUUAGUGAAAGCUGCAUAGUGUAAACUGAGAAUGAAUCUGAUACGCAUUUCUCAGAAUGCAAAUCUGUAAGUGAUUUACAAUGGAAAAGCGUGGAAUCAGAAGGGUACUGUAAUUCCAAACCAAAGCCAAACCUCCUAGAUUGCUGUAAAAAUAAAGCACCUCUACAAGAUA